GCUACAUUGUAGCCACAGCCACCCUGGGGCGCACUGACAGAGGCGAGUUGAUGGUUAAUAAUAGGUCAACUUUAGUGUUUUUAUGCGUAAAAUGUACGACUAAAGAUUUAAGUGACUAAUAAAAUAGCAAAAACAACCCCCAAGCAGAUUUCAUAUGGAUGCAUGUCAUAUACAAAGAACAGUGUAUUUAGUUCCAUGCAUGCAUAAGCUAUACAUGAACAAUACUACCAUGAAUUUCUAUCCACACACGGUAGGUAAAACUACCAUGAUUUAUUUGGGUUGGAGGUGAGUCUGUUGACUUAUAUGUAGUGUCUGAGACCAUUUUGUCUCACAGAUUGUCUGGAGGAAUGGCUGCAGUGAUUCAGAAAAAAAAAUUCACAGCACUGACUUUUUAGGGACCAUGUGCUGUGGUUGAUGAGCGAUAGCGCUUUACUAUUUUACUCAAGGCUUACUUUUUGUUCUUUUUAUUCUCCAGUCUAUCUCACUGCUCUCCCAACACCACGCACAAAUGCAAAAUGCAUCAAAAACCAUUUGGUGUAAGGUGGGUAAGUAAACUCCGUCACAAUUAGGCAGCGUAUGACAUCAACGGUAAAUAAUAACAUACGCUGCAAAACACUGACUUAUACAAAUGCGAAGCGGAGUAUAGUGGCCAUAAAAAUUGAUUGCACAAAAGAACAACAGUGUAAUCAGACCGUGAGAGGAAAGCUAUUAUAUCUAUGUAGCAAAUAUAAUUCCUCAAGAGGAAAAUUGAAUUCUUUGAACACAGAAGACAGAAGAAAAUUAGUUUUCACCACAGUGGCCAUGUCGUACAGUAGAAAUAAACAUUUCCCAGCAAAGCUAUAGGGACAAUUUGUUCCAACACAAUACGUUAGAGGUUUUUGAGUACAAUGAGGAACAAAACAUACAAACACAACUUUUUAAUUAUGUUUCACCCUAAAAAAUGUAGAACAGAUCCUAAGACCACUGAAAAAUGAUGCCUGCAGAUAUACAUAAAAGAAAGUGUGCAUAAAUAGACUGGAGGAGCACCCAACCUACCUCUCUUGAUCAAAAUGUUACCAAAACACAAAAUAAUGAGCACAUGAAAAUAAUGUUAACAGUCAUCUGGAGCCUACAGCCAAAUUAAAUCCUCAGCCAGCACAACAGACGCUCUUCCUUAAUGUUAUGGACGUGCAGUGUGGACAAUGUUUGAUUUUGUUGCAGCAGGUUAUCACUAUAAUUAGCUCUAAGAGAUGAAUCAUUUUUUCCCCACACGCACUAACAGGUAACAAAAACACGCACUGAGUGAGAAAGAACUCGCCUGCAAAUGAUAUUAAAUAUAAAACAAGCAAAAAUGUCCAUCUCAACGAGCCGUUUAAUCUUGUAUUCAGAUCUGAGGCUGUGCCAGCAGGAUGAUGUAACUAUUUGUUGUAUAAGUCCGUGUUUCCAAGGCAACUUUAAUUUAGCAGAUUUUCCCUGGAAGUGAUCUGCCUUAUUUGCAAGAACGCUUCUCAAAAAGAAGUGACACUGCAUUGCAAACAUGCUAAUUAGCUCUCGUCCUUUUACGGUUCCACUGCAGUGAAAAAGAAGAAGGGAAGGAAGCAGAUAAAACUGUGCGGCAGAAGUGCAGGUGACACAUCAAUCAAACCCUGCCAUCAACGCUCUUUGACAAAUUAAGAUGGACUCGAAAAACGCAGCCGCGUCAUCAUCGUCACCAUCACCGCGCUGAUUUCGUUCCACAAAUGGAGCAUAAAUGCAGCGACUCUUAAAAUUUGCAAUCUCAGACAGCUCCUCCAGCUCUUCCAGGGGAUGCUGAAGUGUCCCCAAGCCAGUUGAAAGACAUCUCUUCAGCAUGUCACAGCCAGAUGAAUCCCUGGAGGUCGUUCCCCUGAUCAGCCUUGGGCUGGGCCUUCAGCUGCACACCUGUUUCCUUGCUUCUUGUCAAGUGCUGUGUGAAUUUAUGGACUGAUUAUUCCACUCAUUCACUGCCAGAUGAUAGAGCUACGUUGUUGUCAGGCUUGGAUUUAGGAAAUGAACUAUUACUUUGUGCUUGAUAGGGUACUUGCCUUGAUUUCUCAUCUCUUCUAUUGCUUUGGACCUGCCCACCUGGACAGGACUUGUGCUUUGAAUUUUGGAUUCUGUUUUUGGAUUUCCUUCUAAAGGACAGAGACUGAUUCCCACAGAUACUUACCUGCCUGCUCACUCUCCACUGCACACCCACACACUCUCACAUACAUUCUGAGUAGUAUCACCAAGAAAAGUUUAUUUUUUUUAAUCUCAACUUGUUUGCAAUAAACAUCCUUAACCUUUGCUCGCCUCUCGGUCCGGUUUGAGUCCAUUAAACUCAGUAAAUCAUGACAGUCUGCCCCAAGGUCUCCUCCCAGUAGAUUUCUUUUAUUCUGACUUCAAAAUGUACCAUCUCUUUAUACCACAGUUGAAAUUUCACUUACCGGUAGUUCCUGGUCUAGUGUUUAGAUUAUUAAAAUACAAUCAAAGUAAGCACAAGUAAGCAAUUACAUAUUACUGUAGAUCAUCAAAAGACUUGGCCUAUUCAAUGGUUUUCAUAACAGUGGUUGUUUCUCAGUAUUUUUCCCACAGUUUCUUAAGGAAAUGAGCAGAAUCGGAACUGGUCUCAGAAGGCUAUAGCAGAGGGCAGGGAUGUAUGUCUUAAGCCUAAUAGUAAGAGAUGUUACAGCUGAAAAAUACAAUAUACACAGAAAAUAUUGCUGGCUAGUAAUCAUUGUUAUUUAUUACUCAACAUCUGAAAAUAAGAAACCUCACUGUAAUUUACAAAAUGAUAAAACUAGCAGACAGUGCUGUUUGCAUUUUUCACGUAUCUGGCGAUCAAUCUUAUGUAAUGUGCUUUCUUAUUUUUUGUAUUAGAUUUAAAGGCUAGUGGUUCUGAGAACUAUUCAUUUUAUUAGUAUCUGUGUUACUGAUGACCAUCUCUGGAACAAAGUAGAUGCGUGUGGAAUAGAUGAAGAACAGUGCCGCGCUGAUUUAUUCAAGGUGAACCAGUUUUCCUUGGGAUGCACACCAAUGUGUUGCCUGUGUCAAAUAUGGCUGACAGCUGGGUACAUCACAGUUAUUCAUAGCACGUGUGAGCGUGUGUGUAUAUGUAUGCAAGAUUGAUAACUCAUCACAUUUCCUGUCAUAGUCUAAAUGUCACCUCUGCAGCUUGCAGUGAUGAAUGCAAUCCUGUGGCUGGUUCAUCAUUUGCUGUGUUCAUUUCCAUGUAAAUGUUUGUCAUAGUAUUCACACACAUACACAGAAGGAACAGUUUAAAGAUCGAGAGGUUGAGAAUCAUCAUACAACACUGGUCACUGACAUGGCUGUUCAGAACAACAACAUUUUGGAUACAUGCACAGUGAUGUCAAAAUGAAAGGUUUUUAGAGGACUUUAUGCGGUCCCGGGAAAAAGUAAUUACACCACACGACUCGGUAGCUUGUAGAAUCACCUUUAACAGAAAUAACUAAAAGUAAUCAUUUUCUGGAUGACUUUGUCAGUCUUUCAAAUAUAAUAUGGCAUGCUCUCCUUUACGGUGGGGCUACAGUUCAUUGAGGUUUGCUGGUUUUCCCGCCACAGCAUUUCAGCAGGGUUGAGGUCUGGACUUUGGGCCAUUGCAAUUCCUUAAAUCUUUUUCUUUUUUGUGCUUUAAAUAUGCUUAGGGUUAUUGUCUUCUUGUAGUUUGAAUCGAGCUUUAGCUGAGGUUUUCUGUUUUGUUUAGAUUAUGCUAAGUAAACCUAACCCAUGCUGUCAUGUUCUUUUUCAAAAUGAACAGAUUUGUGGCGACUAGACAUAGUAAAGAGACCUCUGGUAAAUGUUUAAUGUCUUUACUGUAGCCUGUCUUGUAGCUGAUAACUACUUUUCUCUUCUGAUCCAAAUUGGCAGAGUAAAGUGAUGCACAUUCCUUUAUCGAGGAGGCAAACACAGUGUAGCUACUUCUAUCGGUGUGCUCUCACAGAGGACAUAGAAUACAUACUGCUAACUACUGCUAGCAGAGCAGAGGGGGCAGUUCCAGCAUUGGGCAUGCAUCACACAUAUACAUUAUCCAUCAAGCUACCUUCCUAAAGAAUAAGACUGCCUUUAACUAUAGGCGUUUUCCUGGCAACCCUUCCACACAAGUCACACUUAUUCAGUCUUUUUCUAACUGUGUGUGUAAUUUAACUGAGACCUGUAUUGUCUGAGGUGUAUCACAUUUUAUCUAUUUAUUUUACAUGACUAAGUUACUAAAUCAAUAGUUCAGUAUUUUGUACAGUACAAUUAUUUGCCUUCUUGCCAAGGUCUGAAUGAAAAGACCAAAAUCAUGCUCAAUAUGUACAAAUAUGGAACUUGAACUGGCAAACAGCUCAGCUCACACUGCAACCAGAUAACUCCCUGGAGUAUCCAUCUUUUGGCUGGCGAACUUGUGAUACCCUGAAGAUAACUGCAGCUGGCCGAAAAUAUUUUCACUGCACAACAUCAUCAACUACAUUAGGACCAAAAUAGUCAUAAAAAGAUGGUUAUCUAUAGUUCUUUGCCUUCUUCUUAACAGUACAUACACCACCAAAUAGUGGGAAGUGCAGCAGCAAGAAACCAGAGCAGGCAUCAAUUACAACACAAGUGACAUGGAUAAGUCAAUAAAUGCAUAAAAGAAAUACCAGCAUCAUCCCAAGGCUUGUAUAUGUACAGUGGACAGAUCCACUUUGUUAGCAGCUUGUUCGGGUGAGGGUUGUAGGUGUCUGGAACCUAUCCAGCUGUAAUAGGGCAGAAGGCGGGUUACACCCUGGACAGCUCACCUGUCAUUCUCAUUUACUAAUUAGUUGUGUAGAAGUACUUUAACUAUGCUGACCGCUACUGUGGGCAGAGUUAGCUAAUGUUCCAUGCAGUUAAGCUUGACUUUGUUAUCUUUGUGAACUGGUGCUAUGUUAUAUUUUGAAAGACCUUUAGAAUUGCUAGCAGAUGAUUUUUGCAUUAAUAUCUCAAUAACUUCUCAAUAACGUCAGGCUUGCUGUUUGCCCACCUUUAUCUUCAGACCUUUAUCUUCAGACUUCUUGUAGUCUGAAGAUUAGACUACAAGAUUGUAUUUCUGCUCUAGGAAUAGCUUUGCUGAUUUGCUGACUUUAAAUUACCAACUGCAUCUGUUUGAACCCUUUGACUUCUUACCCUUGUCUAACAUUGGACUCUCUUUCUUUUUGCUUGGUGCACUUUGCAACAUUGCCUCGAUUCCAUUUAAGCUGCCUGGGGAAAGCUACUGAUGCCUGCUGGGGGGAAAAAUGCUAUCUUCUUCCUUUUGUGUUUCAAGCCUUCAUUCUUUUGUAGCCUGUAGCAGUCAGAAUUGUGCUGUGAAAGUGAUGCUUUAAGGAAACCCAUCAAAAAGCAGCAAUGGUGUCGUUAUUUUCCAGCCAUUUAAUUGUGCAAACAUUUACUCCAUAAUGAAUCCUUAAGGCGAAAAACUUAGUCUACUUUAAUAAACACGACUUGUUACAGAAAAAAAGAGGCAACUCACAGGCAAGAAGACAAAGACAGAAAAAGUAUAUCAUCAUUAUUAGUACGAUUUUUCACACAAUGCAGAGUAAGCGAUUGGUAUUUCCUUGCUAAUUAGCAAGUUUACACUCAUUUCUUGUGACUGACUGUUGAUUGCCUCCAAAAAAGUCCAUGAAAAUUGUUGGAGAUAGAAGGUGUGAUCGUGCAUACGAAAAAAAAAGUUACGUUUCUUCAAUGAGAUAUGAAAGUGAAAGGAAGUCACAUUGAUUGGAGUGCCUUACUUUACUUGAUUCAGCAAGCAGCUCUAACAAACAUUUAGCAUUAAAAAUAAAUGAAUGACUCUGUCAUUGUUAAGGCAUUCAGUAAUAUUGUUGAUCCAAUUUGGCUGAGGAGUUUAUGAAAUGAUUAAUUUACUUAGAUAACACAAAAGAAUUUUGACCAGCAUUUUACAGUACUGUGCAAAACUGUGCAUGUAUUUAUAUCUUGCUAGGAAAAUGGGACAUAGGUGAAGUGAUUGAAAUGUUCACCCAUCAAUCCAUCCAUCCAGCCAUCCAUCCAUCCAUCCAUCAAUUUUCCACUAUUUGUCUGGGGCCAGGUCACAGCCCAGACCUCAGGCCAAGAGACCUAAUCUCCCCAGGGUGUACUGGGUCUACCCCAGAGCCUCGUCCUGGUAGGAUAUGCCACAAACAUGUCAUCCAUGAGGUUCCUAGAAGAUGCGUGAACCACCUCUGCUGGCUCUUUUUGAUGUGGAGGACUAGCAGUUCUACUCGGUUCUUCCCAAAUCACUGAACUGAAUCCAUCUCUAAUGCUCAAAUAAUAAUCUAAGGUCUAAUCAAAGGUCUUAAACCUGAAAACAAAACAAAUGGCACAAGGUCCACAUAAAGAACAAAAACAGAAUAGGAAUCUAGAUAACAAGCCAUAUGGAACAAGAAAAUACAUCUUGAAAUAGGACAAAGGGAAAGAUAGAAUGUCACACAAAUAUAUUACACAAGGACAACCCGAGAAAUAGAAAAUGCACUUUUAAAUGAUGGAUUUAUUUAUUAAUGAAAAAAGCUUAACAAACUUGUCUGGCCCAAUUCUGAAAAGUAAUUGACCCCUACACCUAAUAACUGGUUGUGCCUUGCUUGGCAACUAGAACUGAGAGCAAUUGUAUACGAUAACUGCUUAUGUGUCUUUCGCAUCACGCUGGAGGAAUUCUGGCCCACCCAUCUUUGCAGGAUUGUUUUCAUUCAGACACAUUGGAGGGUUUUUGAGCAUGAACAAGCAUGAAAGGUAUGAGAUCAGAAGAUCAGAUUUGGAUCUGGACCUUGACCAGGCCACUCCAAAACCUUUAUUUUGUGUUUCUCAAGCCAUGCAGAGGUGGACUUGCUGGUGUGUUUCGAAUCAUUGUUCUGUUGCAUGACUCAACUGUGAAAGAGCUUUAAGGCACCCGACAAUCAUGUUUCCAUCAAGUACUGCAAGCCAUCCAGGUCCUGAAGCAGCAAAGCAGUCGGGAUCUUUAUACUACUACCAUCAUGUUGACUGUUGAUAUAUUUUAUGUUUAUUAAAAACAAGAGGCUUAGUGGGAAUCAUAUUCAUAUAACAUGCAAACUCCACACAGAAAGACCCCAGCCUGAUGGUGGAAUUGAACUCAGGACCUUCUUGCUGUGAGGUGCUAACCACCAUGCCACCAUGCUGCCCUGUUUACCUUCUGUAUGAAUUUUAUACCUCAUAAGACAUUACACAUGUGACCCUCUUUUUUUCUCAUUUAGAAAUAUAUUUACUUGAUUCAUAUACAUAAUCCUGUAAACAUGAUUAGCUCAGCAGGUAUAAGCAUUAUGAUUCAUACAAUAUAUCUAAAACAAAUUAUUAUCUACAUUUUUUUUCUGUUCCUCUUCCAUAUGGAUUUCAUCUUGGUGGGACACAAAUAGCUGCUUGCAAGAAAUCAGAAGGGCAGUCUGGAAUAAUGUUAGAAUGGAGAUGGGGAAAAUAACUGAUUAGGCUGGACCGCACAGCAGGAAUAUGAUUAAAUUAUAAUCGGGGGAAUAGAGAAAUAAUUUAAUAGAUACUGCACUAAAAUUCCAACAUGUCUAAGGAUGAAUUAAUGUUGGAAAUAGGCCGGCAUACAUGUUUGCAGAUUAAAUAUUCUAUUUUUUGAAUGUUUAUUGUUACUGUCUGUUUUAGUGAUUGCGCCAGUGUCACUCUGUAGGAUAAACUAGACCCUCUUCUUGCCUGUUCUCUCGUGGAUCAUGUCAAAUUGCAGCCAUAAACAACCCAUUAAGUGACAUAUUUAUCUGGGCCAAUUCUUCUGGCUCCCUCACCCCAAUUACUUUGCUGGUGGAAUGUCUAUUUUGGACCGCUUCACAUUCUUUUACGCUCAAAUCAAUACUUCUGCAGAACCAGAAAGCUAUUCCAUGUGUUAGCACUCUCUCUCUCUCUCUCUGCAGUACUUCACAUGGUUUCCUAAAUAUGUUACAUAAGAUGAGUCCUUAGCAAGGGCGCAUGUAGCAGCACAUCUGCUAUUUUAAAAGGAGACGAAGAGGAAUUCAGUUUCCCUUUUUAAUCCUUUGUUUUUAAUGAAGAGGUUUGCUGCCAGAUGUAACAGAACCUUGCCUAUAACAGUAUGUCUUCAAUGUCAUAUGUCAUUAUCAUAAUCAUAAAAUGCACUUUUCUGAGUGCAGCCUUGAAGCUUGAAGAGUCCUGCAGCACGUCAGUUCCAUUUUCUUAUGAAGUUGUACCAGUGCAUUUUCUGCAAUUGAGCCGUCAGCGUCUGUCAGUCAGGGGAAAUUAACGAGUCUGCUGAUUGCACUGCUGGUAAUUACAGAGUGCAGCUGGCGCAGUGCUGUGUCAAGCCUGGGAGGUAUUUUAAGCUUACGUCUGUCCUUUCUCCCAACAGCCAGGUCAAGUAAUGCUCUACAGAGGAUCAGAGAGGGACUCUAAAAUGACCACUGAAAAUUCUGAAAGUGUUCAGAGACAAUAACCACAAAGUCAAAGGUUCAUUUGUUUAUCUGUGUCCUCUAGUAGGACACCGAACCUUUACUUGAUGGCCUGUACUUUUAAGAUCAAUUUUUAUAAUGAUGCAUGGCUAAUACUGGUGUGCAGUUUAUCGAUCCCUUAAGGUGCUGCUCUUUUUUCUUAUCUCUUCUUCUCAGAAUGUAUAACAGAUGAGUCAGUUGUCCCUAGUCCUGAAUGUCAUGCUCAGCAUGAGGAUAUUAGCAUGUGACCAACAGAAUUAAAGCAAAAAACAAAAAAGAAUAGACGAUCUAUUGAAUUUUGCCAGCUUUACAAAGUAUUUUCUUAAUAAUAUAUGAUGGUUUACAUUAUUCACAAAAGACAUUUGUGCACAGAUUAUACAUCAUAUUACAUAUUUUCGUUAUUACUGAAGGUAAUGUAGUAAUCAAAAGGUAGUAAUCAUUCUUUUAAUAAAUUCUAGGAUUUCUAAAAUGACUAGCUGAUGUGAUUAACUGAAAAAGGUUUAAAUGUUUGCACAGAAGUGAGUAAAGCUGUGUGUGGCGAAUGACAUUGCCACUGUGGCUUUGAACAAGGCUUUCUGCCACAGAAACUACCGAAGGGGACACUGUCCUCAGCAGGUCCAUUUAUUAGUCAACCCACAUGGAUUUUCCACAUCCCAGAUACACACUGGCCAAAAGCCUGUGAAGCUGUAAUUGCUGUCGUAGGGGUUUUAACAAAGUACUGACUGUAUCAUGUGCCCAUGGUGUUUGUUAGCAGGCAGCUAGAAUUGCAUUUACAAGUCAAAAAAAACUUCAAAUUUGUAUCAGUUUCUGUCGUUGGGGUAAGAAGCAUUUUUGUCCUGACAUGUAAAAGAAUGAAGUGGAUGAUCAGACAUGAGCA